GAUUUUGCAGAGCCAGAGAGUACAGGAAGGUUAGCGAGCACAGAAGGGGAGAUCGAUGGCCAUGAGCAAGGAGAGGAUGAUGGAGAAGAGGAUGAUAAUGGGGAGACUGGGGAAGAAGAACAGGGUGUUGAUGAUGAUGGAGAAUUUGAAGAAGAAGAGGUGAGAUCGUCUAGGAUAUAACUUGGUCCUUAUUUUAGCUUAAUUUGCUACGCAUGUGCUUUUUAGUUGAAUUAACUGAAUGAUAGCUUUUGUCCCUCAGAAUUUUUGGUAGAAAGGGAGGGGGGNNNNNNNNNNNNNGGGAGUUAAGUUCCUAGCUGCUGUUUCACUUGCAGGCUCAAAUUUGUUAUUGCUGACUUGAUUUAUUUCGUGCUUUUGUGUCGAUUUUUUCUGAUUCUUUUGAUUGAUUCCUUGCAUAUUCUUUGGCAAACAUUACUACUGAUUCUUAAUUAUCUUUUUGUAGUAUUUUGCAGGUGCUUUUGCUUAGAACUCUGCUAUUGUUUAUUUAUUAAUUUAUUGCUACCUUAUGUGGGAAUAUAGGUGCUGGAUAUUCUUUGUUUGAUGCCAUUGUUUGUUGUCUUGUUGGUAAAUAUGAAGUAUUUGUUUAACUGGGCAAAUCCACGACAUAGUCAAUGUGGUUAAAUGUUCUUCAAAUAAUAGAAUUGUACCCUGUUGUUUUUUAUGUGAAAGUAUAGCCUUCUAGCACAUGUAAGAGGAUAAGAUGCAACUUUUUUGUUUUGUAUCCAAUGCUUUCAAUUCUUCUAUUUUCUAGGCAUGAAUGCAUUUGAGAAUUUUUUGAUUUAUUUAUUUAUUCUCCAUAAUUCCUGUAGUGAUAUGAUAACUAGUAAGUAAAUCCUUGGAGAGUUGGCUUCUUAGCUACAUCUCCUUUUUUUAUAUUUUAUUAUUUCCUAAAAUGUGGUUGUAUGAAAUGAUAUUUUCUGUUUGGUUUCAGUACAGUUGCACUUCUCUUUAAUUUUGGUCUUAUUAGCCACUGGAUAUAUUGUUGAUGCCUUACUUUUGCUUGCCUUGUGAUUGCAAAAUGUAUUUUUGUCUAUUAGCCUGCUCAUCUGUUUUUGUUUUCAGUAUGAAGUGUUUCUCAUGGCCAGUUUCAUGUAUAGAAAUACAGUUGUAUACCUGAUUUUUUGUGUAAUGGAGUAGUUUGUAGUUAUUGACUCUACAAUUAUAGAAAUAUUUCAUGUCAUGUGUGAUGUUUUGUUCAUUUUUCAGUUAACAUGAAUUCACAAUUUAGUAAUAUUUGAUGGGUACAGAGCUUCUUAGUUUAUUUGCAGAUAUUGUUAUUAUUAUGUUCAAACUUCUUUGCUUUAUAAAGCAAUAAUGUUUGGCAUUUUUGUGUAUUUGGUUAGUCUUUUUUGUGGUGGUGAUCUAUUUUUUUAACUUACUGGGAUUCAUGUCUUGCUAAUUUUUGUGACAUCCUUAACUGACUAUGGUUUCUAACUAUGAUGGCAGGAUGAAGAAGAUUAUGGUGCAGGAUAUUUGGUUCAACCAGUGGGGCAGGCUGAAGUGCAUGAUGCUGGAGGUAGUGACAUGGAAGCAAAUGAAGAAGAUGAUCACGAGGGGGAGGAAGAAGUUGAAGAU
rnacentral:lncRNA from 1 species